GACGAACGCUGGCGGCGUGCCUAAUACAUGCAAGUAGAACGCUGAAGGAGGAGCUUGCUUCUCUGGAUGAGUUGCGAACGGGUGAGUAACGCGUAGGUAACCUGCCUGGUAGCGGGGGAUAACUAUUGGAAACGAUAGCUAAUACCGCAUAACAGUAGAUAUCGCAUGAUAUCUACUUGAAAGGUGCAAUUGCAUCACUACCAGAUGGACCUGCGUUGUAUUCGAUAGUUGGUGAGGUAACGGCUCACCAAGGCGACGAUACAUAGGCGACCUGAGAGGGUGAUCGGCCACACUGGGACUGAGACACGCCCCAGACUCCUGCGUGAGGCAGCAGCAGGGAAUCUUCGGCAAUGGACGGAAGUCUGACCGAGCAAAGCCGCGUGAGUGUAGAAGGUUUUCGGAUCGUAAAGCUCUGUUGUAAGAGAAGAACGAGUGUCAGAGUGGAAAGUUCACACUGUGACGGUAUCUGACCAGAAAGCGACGGCUAACUACGUG
rnacentral:rRNA from 1 species